UCAUAUCUUUGAAACUCGUGAGGCUUGUUGUCCUCGUAAUUUGGCAUGGUUCCUUGUGAUAGGUCUUAUGUUCCGGUAGUAAGAUCAAAGAUGUAUUCCACAACGAUGCAUAAUUUGGAUCCAUCAUUUAUUGCAAAACCAAAUGCAGAUGUAAAUGAAGAUGCACAUCAAGAUUUGGAUGUAGAUGCAAAUACUGAUAUAGAUCCAGAAUUAGAUGCAGAUGCAUACAGAUGUUGAUCAAGAUUUGAAUGUAGAUGCAUAUUUUGAGUUGAUCUUCUUGGAAGCCAUGUCAUUGAACUUUGUCAUUCGAAGUCAAAAUAUGAGAGAAGCUACAAUCUUUAGGAAACCGUUCAGAAAAGAUAUGCAAUCCUCUGAUUCUUUUCUUCAAUGAUGUUCUUGAUUUGAUGGAAUACUUGCGACUCAACUUUUGGAUCGAAUCGUUCUUUGUACUUGCGGCUCAACACUUGGAUCAAAGACUUAUUUGUAAGUAGAAGACAUACUGAUCACCACCGAAGAGCAAGGAUUCUCUUCUAUGUGUCUUCUUCCUUUUCUUCUUUCCUUUGGUCUUAUGAAAGAUGUCUUUAUAUAGGAUUGAGUUGGGGUAUUAGGGUUAUUUUUUCCCAACAAAAUUUUCUACUUGGUCUUGAAAAACAUGAGUUGGGCUCGUCUUGUCAAUUUAAGGGACUUAAUCAAAUGUGAAUAUGACUUUAUUUAUGUCAUAUAUUUUUACUUCUAUAUUAAUCGGACUAUAUUAACUUGUA